AUGAACGCUAGCUACAGGCUUAACACAUGCAAGUCGAGGGGCAGCAUUUUAGUUUGCUUGCAAACUGAAGAUGGCGACCGGCGCACGGGUGAGUAACACGUAUCCAACCUGCCGAUAACUCCGGAAUAGCCUUUCGAAAGAAAGAUUAAUACCGGAUAGCAUACGAAUAUCGCAUGAUAUUUUUAUUAAAGAAUUUCGGUUAUCGAUGGGGAUGCGUUCCAUUAGUUUGUUGGCGGGGUAACGGCCCACCAAGACUACGAUGGAUAGGGGUUCUGAGAGGAAGGUCCCCCACAUUGGAACUGAGACACGGUCCAAACUCCUACGGGAGGCAGCAGUGAGGAAUAUUGGUCAAUGGGCGAGAGCCUGAACCAGCCAAGUAGCGUGAAGGAUGAAGGCUCUAUGGGUCGUAAACUUCUUUUAUAUGGGAAUAAAGUUUUCCACGUGUGGAAUUUUGUAUGUACCAUAUGAAUAAGGAUCGGCUAACUCCGUGCCAGCAGCCGCGGUAAUACGGAGGAUCCGAGCGUUAUCCGGAUUUAUUGGGUUUAAAGGGAGCGUAGGUGGAUUGUUAAGUCAGUUGUGAAAGUUUGCGGCUCAACCGUAAAAUUGCAGUUGAAACUGGCAGUCUUGAGUACAGUAGAGGUGGGCGGAAUUCGUGGUGUAGCGGUGAAAUGCUUAGAUAUCACGAAGAACUCCGAUUGCGAAGGCAGCUCACUAGACUGUCACUGACACUGAUGCUCGAAAGUGUGGGUAUCAAACAGGAUUAGAUACCCUGGUAGUCCACACAGUAAACGAUGAAUACUCGCGGUUUGCGAUAUACAGUAAGCGGCCAAGCGAAAGCAUUAAGUAUUCCACCUGGGGAGUACGCCGGCAACGGUGAAACUCAAAGGAAUUGACGGGGGCCCGCACAAGCGGAGGAACAUGUGGUUUAAUUCGAUGAUACGCGAGGAACCUUACCCGGGCUUAAAUUGCAACAGAAUAUAUUGGAAACAGUAUAGCCGUAAGGCUGUUGUGAAGGUGCUGCAUGGUUGUCGUCAGCUCGUGCCGUGAGGUGUCGGCUUAAGUGCCAUAACGAGCGCAACCCUUAUCUUUAGUUACUAACAGGUCAUGCUGAGGACUCUAGAGAGACUGCCGUCGUAAGAUGUGAGGAAGGUGGGGAUGACGUCAAAUCAGCACGGCCCUUACGUCCGGGGCUACACACGUGUUACAAUGGGGGGUACAGAAGGCGGCUACCUGGUGACAGGAUGCUAAUCCCAAAAACCUCUCUCAGUUCGGAUCGAAGUCUGCAACCCGACUUCGUGAAGCUGGAUUCGCUAGUAAUCGCGCAUCAGCCAUGGCGCGGUGAAUACGUUCCCGGGCCUUGUACACACCGCCCGUCAAGCCAUGAAAGCCGGGGGUACCUGAAGUACGUAACCGCAAGGAGCGUCCUAGGGUAAAACUGGUAAUUGGGGCU
rnacentral:rRNA from 1 species